UGUGCACAUAGUUAGAGCUCAGAGCUGAGGUCAGUUUCUGGCCAAUGAACUCCUGAGUGUAGGAACUGUGCUACAUCAAUCUUGGCAGGAUUUUUCGCUAACGCCACAAGGACUUUCACAGUCCAAUGAGUGGAGUUUGAUAGUGAUUCUUGCCACACCU
ensembl:snoRNA SNORA62 Small nucleolar RNA SNORA62/SNORA6 family